GGCCCAGUGGUCAAAUGGUUAAGACAUAAUGUUUUCACCAUUAUAGCACGGGUUCGAUUCCCGUCUGGGCUA